UUUCCGUAGGUGAACCUGCGGAAGGAUCAUUCAUAUUAAACGUUUUACUGCACUUUUCAACCAUAGUACUCACCUUGUCUGCAAUGUUUUGUUUCUUUUCAGAGCAACACAUACACCAAAAAAUAACUUAGAACCACUUCGUCUAUAAAACUAUCAUGAACACAUACUUCAAAAUACAACUUCCAACAACGGCUCACUUGUCUCUCGCAUCAACGAAGAACGCAGCAGAACGGCAGAGCACACGACUGCACAACUGCCACGCCUAGUCACCUCGUAUGC
rnacentral:misc_RNA from 1 species